CUUGGUCAUUUAGAGGAAGUAAAAGUCGUAACAAGGUUUCCGUAGGUGAACCUGCGGAAGGAUCAUUACAGAAUGAAAAGUGCUUAACUGCAUUUUUUCUUACACAUGUGUUUUUCUUUUUUUGAAAACUUUGCUUUGGUAGGCCUUCUAUAUGGGGCCUGCCAGAGAUUAAACUCAACCAAAUUUUAUUUAAUGUCAACCGAUUAUUUAAUAGUCAAAACUUUCAACAACGGAUCUCUUGGUUCUCGCAUCGAUGAAGAACGCAGCGAAAUGCGAUAAGUAAUAUGAAUUGCAGAUAUUCGUGAAUCAUCGAAUCUUUGAACGCACAUUGCGCCCUUUGGUAUUCCAAAGGGCAUGCCUGUUUGAGCGUCAUUUCUCCCUCAAACCCUCGGGUUUGGUGUUGAGCGAUACGCUGGGUUUGCUUGAAAGAAAGGCGGAGUAUAAACUAAUGGAUAGGUUUUUUCCACUCAUUGGUACAAACUCCAAAACUUCUUCCAAAUUCGACCUCAAAUCAGGUAGGACUACCCGCUGAACUUAAGCAUAUCAAUAAGCGGAGGAA
rnacentral:rRNA from 1 species